AAUAGAUACCCCGGUAGUCCACGCCGUAAACGAUGAGUGCUAAGUGUUAGAGGGUUUCCGCCCUUUAGUGCUGAAGUUAACGCAUUAAGCACUCCGCCUGGGGAGUACGGCCGCAAGGCUGAAACUCAAAGGAAUUGACGGGGGCCCGCACAAGCGGUGGAGCAUGUGGUUUAAUUCGAAGCAACGCGAAGAACCUUACCAGGUCUUGACAUCCUCUGACAACCCUAGAGAUAGGGCUUCUCCUUCGGGAGCAGAGUGACAGGUGGUGCAUGGUUGUCGUCAGCUCGUGUCGUGAGAUGUUGGGUUAAGUCCCGCAACGAGCGCAACCCUUGAUCUUAGUUGCCAUCAUUUAGUUGGGCACUCUAAGGUGACUGCCGGUGACAAACCGGAGGAAGGUGGGGAUGACGUCAAAUCAUCAUGCCCCUUAUGACCUGGGCUACACACGUGCUACAAUGGACGGUACAAAGAGCUGCAAGACCGCGAGGUGGAGCUAAUCUCAUAAAACCCGUUCUCAGUUCGGAUUGUAGG
rnacentral:rRNA from 1 species